ACCGUGAAAAAACAACAACCAAAACCUCGGUCGCGAAAAGUUUGUUCCGUUUUUUCCUUCAAGGAUGCAGAAAAACAGCGAUGGGACAUUGUGCGGCCUACGGCUUGAGGAAACAGUUCAACAAAAGGAAAAUUGAAGACCCGGCUACCGUCUGGGCCACAAGAAAAAUACGCAUCAAAAACGAUUUCAAACCACGUCCGUAGCAACAUCUUCCUGUUACACCGACGGACUUGUACCCCGGCAGCAGCAUCACCAGAACACCAGAUAUAAUCCUCGACAGGAUUAUAUCCAUAAUCCCGAUCCUUGCUUAAUCAUUCCGGGAGGGCCAGUAGACGACCGACGAUUUUUUGUAAUUUUCGAGCUUCUGAAUGCUCGACGGGAAUGAGCAGGACGGAUAAUGAAAAUUCUGAUUUAAGCUCAAGUUUUGUGUUUAUAAAUAAUAUAGCAUAAUGAAAUACAGAAAAAAAGGUUAAA
rnacentral:lncRNA from 1 species